UAGCAUUUUCCCCUCUCGUGUUUCCCCCACUUUCUACAAUCUCAUCCUCUCUCUCAUAUUUUUUUCUAAUACCACCAAAACAUAAAUUAUUUUCUAGCUUUACACGAUCUAUGGGAUUGAGCUGUGGAAGAGUGGGCUUCAAAAUUGUUGAACCAGGCCGAGUUAGUUGAGGCAGCCCAACUGACCGUUGGAGUGUCUAGAAACAGAGAACUUAACAGAAACAUAGACCAAGUGCUUCAUUUUAUACCUUCCUUCUUCCAAAAGCCUUGUAUCUUCUCUUAGUUUUUCUUCUUUCCUCUUGUAUACACCUGAGAUUUUGCGGGGAGCUCGUAAAGUCGACUCG